AUGUGGGAUCGGAUGAUCGCGGUCUUGGGGCAACCCAAGGUCGAGGAAAGUCCGGGCUCCUGAAGGACACCGUGAUGGGUAACGCCCAUCCCCUCUGCUUCGGCGGAGGGAGGAAUAGUGCCACAGAGACGAGUCUGCGUUUUGUCGGGGUAACCCGGCAGGGCGCAGGGUGAAACGCGGUAAACUCCACGGGGAGCAAGACCAAAUAGGUUCUGCUUAUCAGCUGGUCCGGCGAAUUCUUCCUUUUAGCUUAAGCGAAGGAAGGUGGCAGAACGGGUAGGUUGCUAGAGCCUGAUGGCAACAUCAGGCCCAGAGGAAUGAUCAUCACGCCCCACAAGGGCGGACAGAACCCGGCUUACAGAUCCCACAUUUUA
rnacentral:RNase_P_RNA from 1 species